CCCGACUCUCCCGGGAGGAGAAGGAGCGGCGGAGGUCCCAGGGCCUUUGUUUAUAUUGCGGUGGAACUGGUCACUUUGCCUACAACUGUCCAGUAAAAGGCCCAGCCCGGUAGUAAGUUCGAGGCUACUAUCGGGCGGGGUCUCAGCCGAAAGUCCUCAUCUACAUCUACGCUCCUCCCGGUGAGACUGAGGUGGUCAGCACAUCAUCAUGAUUGUCAAGCACUGGUGGAUUCAGGGGCAGAAGAUCGUUCUGGAUGUUCUAGAUGUCAGUGAGGUCUCGUGCUGUGUGUUCCUGUCUGCCGUGUUCCUGCUCUCGUGUUCGUGAUCGUGUUUUGGAUUUUGGAUUUGGAUUAUCACAGACUGGAGUUCACUGUUUUCACGCUGGCCACCUCAACUGCCUGUGUCACCCGCUCAGCUGUUCGCAUUGAUCAUAUUACUCUGUUUACAAUAAAACUCUUAACUUGCA